GACAGAGGAGCCAAGCGUUGUCCGGAUUGACUGGGCGUAAAGCGCACGCAGGCGGCCGUGCACGUGGGGUGUGAAAGCUGGCGGCUUAACUGCCAGACGCCACCUCAUACGGCACGGCUCGAGCCCGUGAGAGGUCCACGGAAUUGCCGGUGUAGUGGUGAAAUGCGUAGAGAUCCGGAGGAACACCAGCGGCGAAGGCGGCAUCCUGGACUGGUCCUGACACUCAUGAGCGAAAGCGUGGGGAGCGAUCCGG
rnacentral:rRNA from 1 species